rnacentral:miRNA from 10 species
AGUCACUCCUGCACUGCCAC